UUUUAUGAAUGAGCAAAGAAAGUGGUUUCUUGAGAUGGAAUCUACUGCUAGUGAAGAUGCCAUGAA
rnacentral:pre_miRNA from 1 species